rnacentral:rRNA from 1 species
GACGAACGCUUGCGGCGUGCUUAACACAUGCAAGUCGAACGGAAAGGCCCUGCUUUUGUGGGGUGCUCGAGUGGCGAACGGGUGAGUAACACGUGAGUAACCUGCCCUUGACUUUGGGAUAACUUCAGGAAACUGGGGCUAAUACCGGAUAGGAGCUCCUGCUGCAUGGUGGGGGUUGGAAAGUUUCGGCGGUUGGGGAUGGACUCGCGGCUUAUCAGCUUGUUGGUGGGGUAGUGGCUUACCAAGGCUUUGACGGGUAGCCGGCCUGAGAGGGUGACCGGCCACAUUGGGACUGAGAUACGGCCCAGACUCCUACGGGAGGCAGCAGUGGGGAAUAUUGCACAAUGGGCGGAAGCCUGAUGCAGCAACGCCGCGUGCGGGAUGACGGCCUUCGGGUUGUAAACCGCUUUCGCCUGUGACGAAGCGUGAGUGACGGUAAUGGGUAAAGAAGCACCGGCUAACUACGUGCCAGCAGCCGCGGUGAUACGUAGGGUGCGAGCGUUGUCCGGAUUUAUUGGGCGUAAAGGGCUCGUAGGUGGUUGAUCGCGUCGGAAGUGUAAUCUUGGGGCUUAACCCUGAGCGUGCUUUCGAUACGGGUUGACUUGAGGAAGGUAGGGGAGAAUGGGAUUCCUGGUGGAGCGGUGGAAUGCGCAGAUAUCAGGAGGAACACCAGUGGCGAAGGCGGUUCUCUGGGCCUUUCCUGACGCUGAGGAGCGAAAGCGUGGGGAGCGAACAGGCUUAGAUACCCUGGUAGUCCACGCUGUAAACGGUGGGUACUAGGUGUGGGGUCCAUUCCACGGGUUCCGUGCCGUAGCUAACGCUUUAAGUACCCCGCCUGGGGAGUACGGCCGCAAGGCUAAAACUCAAAGGAAUUGACGGGGCCCCGCACAAGCGGCGGAGCAUGCGGAUUAAUUCGAUGCAACGCGUAGAACCUUACCUGGGUUUGACAUGGAUCGGGAGUGCUCAGAGAUGGGUGUGCCUCUUUUGGGGUCGGUUCACAGGUGGUGCAUGGCUGUCGUCAGCUCGUGCCGUGAGAUGUUGGGUUAAGUCCCGCAACGAGCGCAACCCUUGUUCACUGUUGCCAGCACGUUAUGGUGGGGACUCAGUGGAGACCGCCGGGGUCAACUCGGAGGAAGGUGGGGAUGACGUCAAGUCAUCAUGCCCCUUAUGUCCAGGGCUUCACGCAUGCUACAAUGGCUGGUACAGAGAGUGGCGAGCCUGUGAGGGUGAGCGAAUCUCGGAAAGCCGGUCUCAGUUCGGAUUGGGGUCUGCAACUCGACCUCAUGAAGUCGGAGUCGCUAGUAAUCGCAGAUCAGCAACGCUGCGGUGAAUACGUUCCCGGG